ACUACGGGGGGCUGCAGUGAGGAAUAUUGGUCAAUGGGCGCGAGCCUGAACCAGCCAAGUAGCGUGAAGGAUGACUGCCCUACGGGUUGGAAACUUCUGUCAGUGGGGACGAAAGAUGACGGUACCCACAGAGGAAGCACCGGCUAACUCCGGGCCAGCAGCCGCGGUAAUACGGUGGGUGCAAGCGUUGUCCGGAAUCAUUGGGCGGAAAGAGUUCGUAGGCGGUAUGUUAAGUCUGGUGUUAAAUGCAGAAGCUCAACUUCUGUUCGGCACUGGAUACUGGCAAACUAGAAUGCGGUAGAGGUAAAGGGAAUUCCUGGUGUAGCGGUGAAAUGCUUAGAUAUCAGGAGGAACAUCGGUGGCGUAAGCGCUUUACUGGGCCGUAAUUGACGCUGAGGAACGAAAGCCAGGGUAGCAAAUGGGAUUAGAUACCCUUGUAGUC
rnacentral:rRNA from 1 species